UUUACAGUAGUCUAGCAGCUGGUCAGGACAUAGUUCAGCUGUCUGUGAAUGAGGGCAGAGACCUCAUCAGAGAGGCUGGGCUCUGUUCUGAGCUGCUCGUGCUCAACAGAACUGC
rnacentral:precursor_RNA from 7 species